AUUCGAUAAUGAGAGUGGAAACAGCACACAGUGUGGCAGCGAGGAGCACAUGGUGUGUCCAUGGAAGGACUAUGAGUUGUGGAGGAAAAACAGUAUUUGAUAUGAGGCUCAGAGGGCGAGAACUGCAGACCCCAGAGGCCUGCGAUGCGAGGUGCACAGAAAUCAGGAUGGCAGGAGCAUCGCAAGAGAUGACCUCAGCUGUCUAUGGACAUUAAAAAGAUGUGGUACACAUACACAAUGGAAUACGACUCAGCAAUAAAAAGGACAAAAUAAUGCCA
rnacentral:lncRNA from 1 species